rnacentral:rRNA from 1 species
UGCAGCCGACGCUUCUUUCUCCCGAGUGCUUGCACUCAAUUGGAAAGAGGAGUGGCGGACGGGUGAGUAACACGUGGGUAACCUACCCAUCAGAGGGGGAUAACACUUGGAAACAGGUGCUAAUACCGCAUAACAGUUUAUGCCGCAUGGCAUAAGAGUGAAAGGCGCUUUCGGGUGUCGCUGAUGGAUGGACCCGCGGUGCAUUAGCUAGUUGGUGAGGUAACGGCUCACCAAGGCCACGAUGCAUAGCCGACCUGAGAGGGUGAUCGGCCACACUGGGACUGAGACACGGCCCAGACUCCUACGGGAGGCAGCAGUAGGGAAUCUUCGGCAAUGGACGAAAGUCUGACCGAGCAACGCCGCGUGAGUGAAGAAGGUUUUCGGAUCGUAAAACUCUGUUGUUAGAGAAGAACAAGGACGUUAGUAACUGGACGUCCCCUGACGGUAUCUAACCAGAAAGCCACGGCUAACUACGUGCCAGCAGCCGCGGUAAUACGUAGGUGGCAAGCGUUGUCCGGAUUUAUUGGGCGUAAAGCGAGCGCAGGCGGUUUCUUAAGUCUGAUGUGAAAGCCCCCGGCUCAACCGGGGAGGGUCAUUGGAAACUGGGAGACUUGAGUGCAGAAGAGGAGAGUGGAAUUCCAUGUGUAGCGGUGAAAUGCGUAGAUAUAUGGAGGAACACCAGUGGCGAAGGCGGCUCUCUGGUCUGUAACUGACGCUGAGGCUCGAAA